rnacentral:rRNA from 1 species
GGGGACUGCUCAGCGUUUAGCGGCGGACGGGUGAGUAACACGUGGGCAACCUGCCCUGCAGAUCGGGAUAACUCCGGGAAACCGGUGCUAAUACCGAAUAGUUUGAAGCCUCUCCUGAGGCUUCACGGAAAGACGGUUUCCGCUGUCACUGCAGGAUGGGCCCGCGGCGCAUUAACUAGUUGGUGGGGUAACGGCCCACCAAGGCCACGAUGCGUAACCCACCUGAGAGGGUGACCGGCCACACUGGGACUGAAACACGGCCCAAACUCCUACCGGAGGCAGCAGUAGGGAAUCUUCCGCAAUGGACGCAAGUCUGACGGAACAACCCCCCGUGAGUGACGAAAGUUUUCGGAUCGUAAAACUCUGUUGUGAGGGAAGAACACGUACCAACUAACUAUUGGUACCUUGACGGUACCUCACCAGAAAGCCACGGCUAACUACCUGCCAGCAGCCGCGGUAAUACCUAAGUGGCAAGCGUUGUCCGGAAUUAUUGGGCGUAAAGCG